rnacentral:rRNA from 1 species
CCUACGGGAGGCAGCAGUGAGGAAUAUUGGUCAAUGGGCGUAAGCCUGAACCAGCCAAGUCGCGUGAGGGAUGAAGGUUCUAUGGAUCGUAAACCUCUUUUAUAAGGGAAUAAAGUGUGGGACGUGUCCUGUUUUGUAUGUACCUUAUGAAUAAGGAUCGGCUAACUCCGUGCCAGCAGCCGCGGUAAUACGGAGGAUCCGAGCGUUAUCCGGAUUUAUUGGGUUUAAAGGGUGCGUAGGCGGUCUUUUAAGUCAGCGGUGAAAGUCUGUGGCUCAACCAUAGAAUUGCCGUUGAUACUGGGAGGCUUGAGUAUAUGUGAGGCCGGCGGAAUGCGUGGUGUAGCGGUGAAAUGCUUAGAUAUCACGAAGAACCCCGAUUGCGAAGGCAGCCUGCCAAGCCAUGACUGACGCUGAUGCACGAAAGCGUGGGGAUCAAACAGGAUUAGAUACCCCUGUAGUC